rnacentral:tmRNA from 1 species
GGGGCUGACCGGAAUUGACAGCUUGUGCACUGCGCGAGUAAGCGUGUCGGGAGUUGGAUGAAUCUCCCGUAAAAAAAGCCGUCCAAAACACAACUGGCGAGUAUAGCUACGCCAUGGCUGCUUAGUCUAGGUACUAAGUAAUGCCAUCGUCCCGCAUCCGUCUUCCUGCUCACGGGUGAGUUCGGGGCGUCGAAAGCAGUUAGGAUAGUUCGUGGGGCGCUGUGACCUGCGAGCGAAACUUAAACAGAUAAGGGGAAAUCAAAGGCCUGAUGUGCGCCUGGUUUCCUUCGACAAUCCAAGCAUAGAUACACACGUAGAAAGCUCGACGUUUUCCUUGUCUGGACCAGAGUUCGAAUCUCUGCAGCUCCACUU